rnacentral:tRNA from 1 species
GCCUUGAAAGCUUUAAGUAAAGCAUUCGGUCUUGUAAAUCGGAAGAGAGGGUUAAAGUCCCUCUCAAGGCU